GAAGUAGUAGAAAUUGCGCGUUAAGUGCCGUGCGAACGUGGGGUGUCGGCGGACGAAGAGCGUUGCUCGCGGUGCAAUAUUCACUCCGGACUUC
rfam:Firmicutes bacterium CAG:475 genomic scaffold, scf99